UACGUAGGGUGCGAGCGUUGUCCGGAAUUACUGGGCGUAAAGAGCUCGUAGGUGGUUUGUCGCGUUGUUCGUGAAAACUCACAGCUUAACUGUGGGCGUGCGGGCGAUACGGGCAGACUGGAGUACUGCAGGGGAGACUGGAAUUCCUGGUGUAGCGGUGAAAUGCGCAGAUAUUAGGAGGAACACCGGUGGCGAAGGCGGGUCUCUGGGCCGAUACUGACGCUGAGGAGCGAAAGCGUGGGGAGCGAACCGG
rnacentral:rRNA from 1 species